rnacentral:rRNA from 1 species
GAGUUUGAUCAUGGCUCAGGAUGAACGUUAGCGGCGUGCCUAACACAUGCAAGUCGAACGAACAGCCAGAAUCUUAGGAAUCUGGCGGGUUAGUGGCGCACGGGUGAGUAACACGUAGGUGACCUGCCCCGAAGUGGGGGACAACCACUGGAAACAGUGGCUAAUACCGCAUGUGCUUAGCCAUUCGGUUGGUUAAGUAAAGCUGAGGCGCUUCGGGAGGGCCUGCGGUCGAUUAGCUAGUUGGUGAGGUAAUGGCUCACCAAGGCGAUGAUCGAUAGGGGGCGUGAGAGCGUGA